rnacentral:rRNA from 1 species
UUCGCAUGAAGCAGUGUGAAAAACUCCGGUGGUAUACGAUGGAUCCGCGUCUGAUUAGCUGGUUGGCGGGGUAACAGCCCACCAAGGCGACGAUCAGUAGCCGGCCUGAGAGGGUGAACGGCCACAUUGGGACUGAGACACGGCCCAAACUCCUACGGGAGGCAGCAGUGGGGAAUAUUGCACAAUGGGGGAAACCCUGAUGCAGCGACGCCGCGUGAGUGAAGAAGUAUUUCGGUAUGUAAAGCUCUAUCAGCAGGGAAGAAAAUGACGGUACCUGACUAAGAAGCCCCGGCUAACUACGUGCCAGCAGCCGCGGUAAUACGUAGGGGGCAAGCGUUAUCCGGAUUUACUGGGUGUAAAGGGAGCGUAGACGGCAGCGCAAGUCUGAAGUGAAAUCCCAUGGCUUAACCAUGGAACUGCUUUGGAAACUGUGCAGCUGGAGUGCAGGAGAGGUAAGCGGAAUUCCUAGUGUAGCGGUGAAAUGCGUAGAUAUUAGGAGGAACACCAGUGGCGAAGGCGGCUUACUGGACUGUAACUGACGUUGAGGCUCGAAAGCGUGGGGAGCAAACAGGAUUAGAUACCCUGGUAGUCCACGCCGUAAACGAUGAUUACUAGGUGUUGGGGGGCCAAGGUCCUUCGGUGCCGGCGCAAACGC